AUGGUUUGGUUUUAGGAAAUUUUCAACAAUAUUAAUAUUUUUGAUUGAAAACAGUAUGGAACAGUUUGUUGAUGCUAAAUAUGUUUAUCAUAACGUGUAAAAGUUCGCAUUGUUGUUGUAGCCACGUUUCCGUAUGUGGAGGUAGCGGUCCUCGUCAAUCUCCAAGGGCACCAAUAACUCGAGUACCAUGGCAUGACUUCUCACUGGGACUCUUAAUUCGUUGUUUUAUGUUGAAGAAGACUUAUCCUAUAGGACAGCUGACAAGAAGUGUUGCCAAUUGAAGUUACACCAUUUUUUUUAAUAUGAACUGGAGGCCAUCGUAGCGGAUGAUCGCGCAACUAUAGUUGCGAUAAUGGAUGAUCGCGCAACUAUAGUCGCAUUGCCCGGAGCUAAAACCAUGAAAUAAAAAAUUUAGCGUUCAGCUACUAAGUAAAUUGUAAAAAUAUAUGCGAUUUAAUAGAGAAA